rnacentral:rRNA from 1 species
GCUUCGGCCGGAAGAUACGUUAUCUAGNUGGCGGACGGGAUGAGAUAACACGUGGGUAACCUGCCUUAUGGAGGGGGAUAACAGAGAGAAAUCACUGCUAAUACCGCAUAAGCACACAGUACCGCAUGGUACAGGGUGAAAAGAUUUAUCGCCAUAAGAUGGACCCGCGUCUGAUUAGCCAGUUGGCAGGGUAAAAGCCUACCAAAGCAACGAUCAGUAGCCGAUCUGAGAGGAUGACCGGCCACAUUGGGACUGAGACACGGCCCAAACUCCUACGGGAGGCAGCAGUGGGGAAUAUUGCACAAUGGGGGAAACCCUGAUGCAGCGACGCCGCGUGAGUGAAGAAGUAUUUCGGUAUGUAAAGCUCUAUCAGCAGGGAAGAUAAUGACAGUACCUGACUAAGAAGCCCCGGCUAACUACGUGCCAGCAGCCGCGGUAAUACGUAGGGGGCAAGCGUUAUCCGGAUUUACUGGGUGUAAAGGGAGCGUAGACGGAAUGGCAAGUCUGAAGUGAAAUACCCGGGCUCAACCUGGGAACUGCUUUGGAAACUGUUGUUCUAGAGUGUUGGAGAGGUAAGUGGAAUUCCUGGUGUAGCGGUGAAAUGCGUAGAUAUCAGGAAGAACACCGGAGGCGAAGGCGGCUUACUGGACAAUAACUGACGUUGAGGCUCGAAAGCGUGGGGAUCAAACAGGAUUAGAUACCCUGGUAGUCCACGCUGUAAACGAUGAAUACUAGGUGUCGGGGUGCAAAGCAUCUC